rnacentral:rRNA from 1 species
AGUGAACGCUGGCGGUAGGUCUAACACAUGCAAGUCGAACGGCAGCACAGUAAGAGCUUGCUCUUACGGGUGGCGAGUGGCGGACGGGUGAGGAAUACAUCGGAAUCUACUUUUUCGUGGGGGAUAACGUAGGGAAACUUACGCUAAUACCGCAUACGACCUACGGGUGAAAGCAGGGGAUCUUCGGACCUUGCGCGAUUGAAUGAGCCGAUGUCGGAUUAGCUAGUUGGCGGGGAAAAGGCCCACCAAGGCGACGAUCCGUAGCUGGUCUGAGAGGAUGAUCAGCCACACUGGAACUGAGACACGGUCCAGACUCCUACGGGAGGCAGCAGUGGGGAAUAUUGGACAAUGGGCGCAAGCCUGAUCCAGCCAUACCGCGUGGGUGAAGAAGGCCUUCGGGUUGUAAAGCCCUUUUGUUGGGAAAGAAAAGCAGCAGGUUAAUACCCCGCUGUUCUGACGGUACCCAAAGAAUAAGCACCGGCUAACUUCGUG